rnacentral:lncRNA from 1 species
UUGGCUUUCUUGUCUCGACGGAAGCUGCGAUCAUAACGACCGAAGAUGAAUCUGAUGGCUUUUUUUCUGAUUUGAUUCUAGCUGCUUUAUAUCACAUGUAAAGUGGGGAGACCAUACAGUUGAAGCGUAAUCUAAUAUCGAACGAACUAGUGAUUUGUAGGCAGUUAGUUUACAUUCCAAGGUUGCAUUUUGUAAAGUUCGCUUAAUGUAGCCAAGU